rnacentral:rRNA from 1 species
ACUAAGCGUACACGGUGGAUGCCCUGGCAGUCAGAGGCGAUGAAGGACGUGCUAAUCUGCGAUAAGCGUCGGUAAGGUGAUAUGAACCGUUAUAACCGGCGAUUUCCGAAUGGGGAAACCCAGUGUGAUUCGUCACACUAUCAUUAACUGAAUCCAUAGGUUAAUGAGGCGAACCGGGGGAACUGAAACAUCUAAGUACCCCGAGGAAAAGAAAUCAACCGAGAUUCCCCCAGUAGCGGCGAGCGAACGGGGAGCAGCCCAGAGCCUGAAUCAGUGUGUGUGUUAGUGGAAGCGUCUGGAAAGGCGCGCGAUACAGGGUGACAGCCCCGUACACAAAAAUGCACAUGCUGUGAGCUCGAUGAGUAGGGCGGGACACGUGGUAUCCUGUCUGAAUAUGGGGGGACCAUCCUCCAAGGCUAAAUACUCCUGACUGACCGAUAGUGAACCAGUACCGUGAGGGAAAGGCGAAAAGAACCCCGGCGAGGGGAGUGAAAAAGAACCUGAAACCGUGUACGUACAAGCAGUGGGAGCACAGAGCAAUCUGUGUGACUGCGUACCUUUUGUAUAAUGGGUCAGCGACUUAUAUUCUGUAGCAAGGUUAACCGAAUAGGGGAGCCGAAGGGAAACCGAGUCUUAACUGGGCGUUAAGUUGCAGGGUAUAGACCCGAAACCCGGUGAUCUAGCCAUGGGCAGGUUGAAGGUUGGGUAACACUAACUGGAGGACCGAACCGACUAAUGUUGAAAAAUUAGCGGAUGACUUGUGGCUGGGGGUGAAAGGCCAAUCAAACCGGGAGAUAGCUGGUUCUCCCCGAAAGCUAUUUAGGUAGCGCCUCGUGAAUUCAUCUCCGGGGGUAGAGCACUGUUUCGGCAAGGGGGUCAUCCCGACUUACCAACCCGAUGCAAACUGCGAAUACCGGAGAAUGUUAUCACGGGAGACACACGGCGGGUGCUAACGUCCGUCGUGAAGAGGGAAACAACCCAGACCGCCAGCUAAGGUCCCAAAGUCAUGGUUAAGUGGGAAACGAUGUGGGAAGGCCCAGACAGCCAGGAUGUUGGCUUAGAAGCAGCCAUCAUUUAAAGAAAGCGUAAUAGCUCACUGGUCGAGUCGGCCUGCGCGGAAGAUGUAACGGGGCUAAACCAUGCACCGAAGCUGCGGCAGCGACGCUUAUGCGUUGUUGGGUAGGGGAGCGUUCUGUAAGCCUGCGAAGGUGUGCUGUGAGGCAUGCUGGAGGUAUCAGAAGUGCGAAUGCUGACAUAAGUAACGAUAAAGCGGGUGAAAAGCCCGCUCGCCGGAAGACCAAGGGUUCCUGUCCAACGUUAAUCGGGGCAGGGUGAGUCGACCCCUAAGGCGAGGCCGAAAGGCGUAGUCGAUGGGAAACAGGUUAAUAUUCCUGUACUUGGUGUUACUGCGAAGGGGGGACGGAGAAGGCUAUGUUGGCCGGGCGACGGUUGUCCCGGUUUAAGCGUGUAGGCUGGUUUUCCAGGCAAAUCCGGAAAAUCAAGGCUGAGGCGUGAUGACGAGGCACUACGGUGCUGAAGCAACAAAUGCCCUGCUUCCAGGAAAAGCCUCUAAGCAUCAGGUAACAUCAAAUCGUACCCCAAACCGACACAGGUGGUCAGGUAGAGAAUACCAAGGCGCUUGAGAGAACUCGGGUGAAGGAACUAGGCAAAAUGGUGCCGUAACUUCGGGAGAAGGCACGCUGAUAUGUAGGUGAAGCGACUUGCUCGUGGAGCUGAAAUCAGUCGAAGAUACCAGCUGGCUGCAACUGUUUAUUAAAAACACAGCACUGUGCAAACACGAAAGUGGACGUAUACGGUGUGACGCCUGCCCGGUGCCGGAAGGUUAAUUGAUGGGGUCAGCGCAAGCGAAGCUCUUGAUCGAAGCCCCGGUAAACGGCGGCCGUAACUAUAACGGUCCUAAGGUAGCGAAAUUCCUUGUCGGGUAAGUUCCGACCUGCACGAAUGGCGUAAUGAUGGCCAGGCUGUCUCCACCCGAGACUCAGUGAAAUUGAACUCGCUGUGAAGAUGCAGUGUACCCGCGGCAAGACGGAAAGACCCCGUGAACCUUUACUAUAGCUUGACACUGAACAUUGAGCCUUGAUGUGUAGGAUAGGUGGGAGGCUUUGAAGUGUGGACGCCAGUCUGCAUGGAGCCGACCUUGAAAUACCACCCUUUAAUGUUUGAUGUUCUAACGUGGACCCGUAAUCCGGGUUGCGGACAGUGUCUGGUGGGUAGUUUGACUGGGGCGGUCUCCUCCUAAAGAGUAACGGAGGAGCACGAAGGUUGGCUAAUCCUGGUCGGACAUCAGGAGGUUAGUGCAAUGGCAUAAGCCAGCUUGACUGCGAGCGUGACGGCGCGAGCAGGUGCGAAAGCAGGUCAUAGUGAUCCGGUGGUUCUGAAUGGAAGGGCCAUCGCUCAACGGAUAAAAGGUACUCCGGGGAUAACAGGCUGAUACCGCCCAAGAGUUCAUAUCGACGGCGGUGUUUGGCACCUCGAUGUCGGCUCAUCACAUCCUGGGGCUGAAGUAGGUCCCAAGGGUAUGGCUGUUCGCCAUUUAAAGUGGUACGCGAGCUGGGUUUAGAACGUCGUGAGACAGUUCGGUCCCUAUCUGCCGUGGGCGCUGGAGAACUGAGGGGGGCUGCUCCUAGUACGAGAGGACCGGAGUGGACGCAUCACUGGUGUUCGGGUUGUCAUGCCAAUGGCACUGCCCGGUAGCUAAAUGCGGAAGAGAUAAGUGCUGAAAGCAUCUAAGCACGAAACUUGCCCCGAGAUGAGUUCUCCCUGACUCCUUGAGAGUCCUGAAGGAACGUUGAAGACGACGACGUUGAUAGGCCGGGUGUGUAAGCGCAGCGAUGCGUUGAGCUAACCGGUACUAAUGAACCGUGAGGCUUAACC